UGUACAUGAAAGACCAGAGAAAUCAGCAUUCAUUAUUGCUUUGUAGCAUUGAACAUAUAUAAGAAUUUUCUAGGAUCUGUAAGGAUGCCAGCUGCUCUUUGUGGUGUUGUUGGUCUAAAACCAACUUUUGAACGUAUACCUCAUGAAGGAGUUCUUCCCCUAAAUUGGAA